AACAACACUGAUUUAAGUCGUUGAAUAGUUGCUGUAGAGCAGCUCCCACAUGAGAGGCAGCACCGAAGAGAAGUACUAAAUGAGGUGGCGAAACGAGGAAGAAACUAUGCCCCCAUGUUGAAUUUCUACACGGGUGACCCUCGUUAAAGCAAGUCGUAUUUUCCUACUUUUAAAAGGCUUGACAACGACAAGAAGUUUUCAAAAAAAGGAACAUGUCCUCCCCAGUUGACGCAGAUGAAGACGAGGUGGAAAAAGAAGUCGAGUUUGUAUCAGAGGGCCCUCUCAGACCAGUAUUGGAAUGUAUUGACCUGUUGAGUGACAGUGAGGAUGAGGGAUGUUCAUCAUUGCCCAAUACACUUGAAGAUAAAAUCAGCCGACAUAAAGCACGUGUUACAUCUACCCUGGAUAGACUGGCGCACCAAGUGGCUGUACAGAAAAAGGAACGAGCAGAUAAAUGCAGAGCAUUCAAGGAGAAGCAGAUCCUACAAAAAGCUCAUGGACAACAGGAGCUGGCUGUUAGCGCUGUAAAUGGGAUUAAUCAGGAAGCCAAACGUUGUGUAGACAUGUGGUUAAAGAUGCCAGGUCUUAAACCUGGAGCGAUCAGUGCUGGUUCCGAGGGAAGACAAAGAGCUUCUUUCCACAGAACUAUCUCAACUAGGCAUACUUGUCCAGUAAUUAACUGUGGUCGAGUUUAUGAUAAUGCUUCCCUCCUUGAUGGACACUUGAAAAGGUUUGAUCACUCCCCAUGUGACCCGACUAUCAAUCUUAAAGGAAGUCCAUCAGAGUUUUUUGCCUGUGUUGCAUGUGGAAAGAAUUUUCAGGCCAAAGAAUCCUGGAGGAACCACGUUAAGUCGAAGGUGUCCUCGUCUAAUGCCGAUGGUCAUAGCAUCAACCAGAUGUAUCAGCGAAUUGUGUGUUUUGCAUGUCCUGCCUGCUACAACCUCUUCAACCUCAGAGACGAGUGUCUCCAGCACAUGUCAGCCGAAAGCCACUUCAAAGACUCACUCGCCUUAAGAGGAAGUCCGCUGCCAGUCCCUGUCCCUCAACAUGUCAAGAAUCGUCUCAUCGCCUUGUGCAAAGAUGUAGCGUUCAGUGUCCGCUGCUCUUUGUGUCAUAACGUACUGAUCUCCCAUCAAGCAGCUCAAGCUCACUUUAAUGUGUACUGCAGACAGGGCUGUGCUGUGGCCAAAGCUGACAAGACGAUAGUGCAGGUCAUGAAUCAGCUGCAAGUGCGAGGACAGUGUUCUGUCUGCUGUGAAAUCUUCCUCAGCCAAGCUGAAAUUGAGAGACACAGGGAGUCGAUGCAGCAUGAAGUUGAACUCAACCAAACAAUGGCAAAAGCACUUCUUCAGCACUGCAGGUUUAGUGAAAUUCAACACUUGAAGAGAGCUAGAGACUCAACAGACACAGAGGAGACCACUGGCCUUGCAACACCUCUCAAAAGAAACAGGAAGAGCGACGACCAUGACAGAUUUCCAGCUAAACAGCAGAGCUUGGGGACAAGUGUGACUGUCACCAGUAGCGGGAGCGUAACAGCUUGGUGUUGCGAGUGCGGUCUUCAGUUCUCAGACGAGGCUGGAGCCAGUAAGCACCUUCUGGCUGUGAACCAAAUUUUCCAUCAGUGUGGCGUGUGUGGCAAACAUAUGGGGGAGUCUUCCAUUGCACGUCUGCAUAUGAGUCGCUUUCACGGGGGCGCUCAUCUCUCCAACUUCCUCUUCUACUGCCGCAAGUGCAAAGUGGAAAUGCCUCGGUACGAAGACAUCCUGUCACACGUGUCCGGAGCUCACAGCGGACACACGUAUUUCAGUGAACAAGAAGUGCCUGAGCAGCUUCCCAUAAUCGUUGAUGUCAAGCCAUCCACUAGCAGUGACGUCACAUUUCACUCCUCGUCUGUGGCCAAAGUCCAGCUGAGCACAGAGGUGUCUUCCUCAAAAGUAGAGCAGUCUUGGAUGUGCAGGAUGUGCGAGGAUGUCUUUGACUCGGAGGCUGCCGUCCGUAAACACUGCAGCGAUGUUAGUAGUCACAGCUUUCAGAGAUUCGUCUGCGGACACUGUCCACAGAAGUUCUUCAAAGAGUCCACCGUACGGAGACACUGUAUGAAUGAGCAUGAUGGGCUUGUAAAAACUUCCUAUUUCUGCGGCCUCUGCGACAGCAUGGAGUUUGGAUCUGAGGAGGAGUUUUUUGAGCACUACAAGAAUCUUCACAGUAAGGACUACUACUGCAUGGAUGAGGUUGAAGUUGUUCAGCCAGAUGCUGCUGAUGCUGCCGCUGAGAGGACCAGUCAGUUUACAUGCCCGUGCAUGGGUUCGGAAAAAAGUAAAGAGGACAUGAAAGCCACUUACACACAAUGCAUGAGGAAUCUGGCUGCGGAAGAAAAAUGCCAGUACAUCUGUGUGCCUUGCGAUGUAUCUGUUCCAUCCUAUGCACAGAUCAAGACUCAUGUCCACACAAAACACACAGCCUUGAACCUGGACAGGAGCUUUGACAUCAGAUGCAAAGACUGCCAAGAGAGUUUUAUGGAUGUACCGAGUUUCCAUAAACACUACCACUUGCAACAUUGUACACUGGAUCCCUGCAUGAGUUCCAGGACCUGCAGGAAAAGCUCAAAAGCCGAACCCACCACUCCAAUGAUACCUAAUGCUGCGGAGAUCAAACCAGACAGCAAUGAGAUUGACGACGAAACGCUGACAUUUUUGAACAUUGAUCACACGAAUGACGAGAGUGAAGUGCAGGAAGUUGAAUCGGAUGAUGAAAUGAAACGUGCGCUGUCUUUGAGCGCAGAAGAAGGACAAGAGUCAGCAGAGUUGGAAGAAGCUCUCAAAAGAAGCCUCCUGGAGUUCUGAGAAAGCCAGUAGUGCUUUUGUAACAUGCUGUUCAUCGAACGUUAUACUAGAAUGUUUUGUACAAGUAAGUGGACACCAAACUGAACCUUGCAGAUUUGCAAUUUUGUAAGCUUGAUACUUGUGAGGAGCCAGAGUGUUUCGACACGUGUGCUAUAGAUGGCAUCCACCACACUGCAAGAUGCCUG